rnacentral:misc_RNA from 1 species
GAAAUGCGAUAAGUAAUGUGAAUUGCAGAAUUCAGUGAAUCAUCGAAUCUUUGAACGCACCUUGCGCUCCUUGGUAUUCCUUGGAGCAUGCCUGUUUGAGUAUCAUGAAAUCUUCAAAGUAAAUCUUUUGUUAACUCAAUUGGUUUCUACUUUGGUAUUGGAGGUCUUUGCAGCUUCACACCUGCUCCUCUUUGUUCAUUAGCUGGAUCUCAGUGUUAUGCUUGGUUCCACUCGGCGUGAUAAGUUAUCUAUCGCUGAGGACACUGUAAAAGGUGGCCAAGGUAAAUGCAGAUGAACCGCUUCUAAUAGUCCAUUGACUUGGACAAUACUUUUAUGAUCUGAUCUCAAAUCAGGUAGGACUACCCGCUGAACUUAAGC